rnacentral:rRNA from 1 species
AUUGAACGCUGGCGGCAGGCUUAACACAUGCAAGUCGAGCGGGGUGAUGGUGCUUGCACUAUCACUUAGCGGCGGACGGGUGAGUAAUGCUUAGGAAUCUGCCUAUUAGUGGGGGACAACAUCUCGAAAGGGAUGCUAAUACCGCAUACGUCCUACGGGAGAAAGCAGGGGAUCACUUGUGACCUUGCGCUAAUAGAUGAGCCUAAGUCGGAUUAGCUAGUUGGUGGGGUAAAGGCCUACCAAGGCGACGAUCUGUAGCGGGUCUGAGAGGAUGAUCCGCCACACUGGGACUGAGACACGGCCCAGACUCCUACGGGAGGCAGCAGUGGGGAAUAUUGGACAAUGGGGGGAACCCUGAUCCAGCCAUGCCGCGUGUGUGAAGAAGGCCUUAUGGUUGUAAAGCACUUUAAGCGAGGAGGAGGCUCUUUUGGUUAAUACCCAAGAUGAGUGGACGUUACUCGCAGAAUAAGCACCGGCUAACUCUGUGCCAGCCGCCGUAACAC